UUCAACUUCCUUAGGGUAUUUGAGUAAAAGACAGCUUUUUCAUAGGGGAAGUAAUUUACAUGCACCUUCUCCAGGGCUAUUUAAUUUCUCCAAGGAAAAAUGGAUUCUCUAAUUUUCUUUUUGGGUGAACUUAAGCCUAAGUACUGGUCAGGAAAAGGGUCAGAAGGGCUAUUUGGUAUGUAAGUGUUCACAUAACCAGCCCAGCCUGUUCUUAGUUCAGCACUUCACCCAUUUCCCUAUCUUCCUUUGUGCUUGG
rnacentral:lncRNA from 1 species